AGUGAACGCUGGCGGUAGGCCUAACACAUGCAAGUCGAACGGCAGCACAGUAAGAGCUUGCUCUUACGGGUGGCGAGUGGCGGACGGGUGAGGAAUACAUCGGAAUCUACUUUUUCGUGGGGGAUAACGUAGGGAAACUUACGCUAAUACCGCAUACGACCUACGGGUGAAAGCAGGGGAUCUUCGGACCUUGCGCGAUUGAAUGAGCCGAUGUCGGAUUAGCUAGUUGGCGGGGUAAAGGCCCACCAAGGCGACGAUCCGUAGCUGGUCUGAGAGGAUGAUCAGCCACACUGGAACUGAGACACGGUCCAGACUCCUACGGGAGGCGGCAGUGGGGAAUAUUGGACAAUGGGCGCAAGCCUGAUCCAGCCAUACCGCGUGGGUGAACAAGGCCUUCGGGUUGUAAAGCCCUUUUGUUGGGAAAGAAAAGCAGCAGGUUAAUACCCCGCUGUUCUGACGGUACCCAAAGAAUAAGCACCGGCUAACUUCGUG
rnacentral:rRNA from 1 species